UCGAAUGAAGUCUUUACUUUCCGCACCCCAGACCUGUCAAGAAAAAGAUAGGGAUCAGUUGACAAGCUCGGCUCAGAAGCCAAUAAAAUAACGAGUUGCUCCAACACUUGCUCGUUGGACAACUCCUCCUCAUCCUCAGCUAAUGCUACUUGCAAAGGGUCAGAACAUAAAAUUUCUUGUAAAUGGGACUCAACCACAUCAUCAAUCACAUCAAUAGAACAUACAGUAUUAUCAUAGUCCAGUGACU
rnacentral:lncRNA from 1 species